rnacentral:rRNA from 1 species
CACGAGUUCCGUGCCGCAGCUAACGCAUUAAGCGCCCCGCCUGGGGAGUACGGCCGCAAGGCUAAAACUCAAAGGAAUUGACGGGGGCCCGCACAAGCGGCGGAGCAUGUUGCUUAAUUCGAUGCAACGCGAAGAACCUUACCUAGGCUUGACAUGCACGGAAAUCCUCCAGAGAUGGUGGGUCCGUAAGGGCCGUGCACAGGUGGUGCAUGGUUGUCGUCAGCUCGUGUCGUGAGAUGUUGGGUUAAGUCCCGCAACGAGCGCAACCCUCGUUCUAUGUUGCCAGCACGUCAUGGUGGGGACUCAUAGGAGACUGCCGGGGUCAACUCGGAGGAAGGUGGGGAUGACGUCAAAUCAUCAUGCCCCUUAUGUCUAGGGCUGCAAACAUGCUACAAUGGCCGGUACAAAGGGCUGCGAUACCGCGAGGUGGAGCGAAUCCCAAAAAGCCGGUCUCAGUUCGGAUUGGGGUCUGCAACUCGACCCCAUGAAGUUGGAGUCGCUAGUAAUCGCAGAUCAGCAACGCUGCGGUGAAUACGUUCCCGGGCCUUGUACACACCGCCCGUCACGUCACGAAAGUCGGUAACGCCCGAAGCCGGUGG